CCUUUAUACAUAUCCCCAAUUUCAACUCUCUCUCUCUCUCCUGCACCUCACCCUACAUAUCCCCAAUUUCAUCUCUCUCUCUCUCUCCUGCACCUCACCCUACAUAUCCCCAAUUUCAUCUCUCUCUCUCCUGCACCUCACCCUCUUCUUCCAACACGUCCCAAAGUUUGAGAUGUCCACAAUUUCGCACUCUUCUCGCCUUCUCCCUCGCAUUCUCCACUGCUCCAGCAGUCACCGCCCAAAGCUGCCGAAAUUCGCUGUCGUCACUGCCUCUCCGUCGCCGCCGCUGUCCGCCCGCUCCGGCGGUCAGCUCCUCCGUCUGUUGCGCUGCUACUCCCAACGUUGAGACAAAGGCUAAACUUAAAGAUUGAAACUUUGUACAGAGCACGGUGAUUUAGAAUUAUCCUAAAUGAAUGCAAGGAAUUCAAGGCUGGGAAUUGAUCGGUGAUUACCUUCUUCGGCGGUAGAAAACUCUCUUCUCCAACUCGGUUCUUUCUCUAGAUUUUAGUUCCCGAUUUUUCUUGGUAUUGAAUUUAUGUGUAGAAAGAUCGUGGGAUUGACUGGAUAUAUAUAGGCAAAACUAAAGAUAUUGAUGGAUUUGGUGGUUGGAGAGAUUUUAGGGAGUGGAGAUAUGGGAGAAACCGUAUCAUAUUUUGAUAGUUUGGAUUUGUUUGAUAUUUAUAUGCAGAUCACGGAGGAGGAAAAUCUUUGUAAAAUCUCUAAUUAAAUUUGAAUUAUGGAAUAAUUGGUGACCAAGUUAGCUAGGAAAA